GAUGAACGCUGGCGGCGUGCUUAACACAUGCAAGUCGAACGAAGCACCUUAGACAGAAGCCUUCAGGCGGAAGACUUUGGUGACUUAGUGGCGGACGGGUGAGCAACGCGUGGGUAACCUGCCCUGUACCGGGGGACAACAGUUGGAAACGACUGCUAAUACCGCAUAAGCGCACAGCAUCGCAUGAUGCAGUGUGAAAAACUCCGGUGGUACAGGAUGGACCCGCGUCUGAUUAGCUAGUUGGUGAGGUAACGGCUUACCAAGGCAACGAUCAGUAGCCGACUUGAGAGAGUGAUCGGCCACAUUGGGACUGAGACACGGCCCAAACUCCUACGGGAGGCAGCAGUGGGGAAUAUUGCACUAUGGGGGAAACCCUGAUGCAGCGACGCCGCGUGAAGGAAGAAGUAUUUCGGUAUGUAAACUUCUAUCAGCAAGGAAGAAAAUGACGGUACUUGACUAAGAAGCCCCGGCUAAAUACGUGCCAGCCGCCGCAGUAA
rnacentral:rRNA from 1 species